ACAAAACUUGACGAAUUGUGGUGUAAAGGCAAAGAAGAUUAUAAAGGUCGUUCGAAGAGAUGGGAAUGUGAUAGUUCUUCAACUUGUUCAAGUACUAGGAAGAGUCUAUUCGGGCAAUGGUGCAAUAGGCAAUUGAGAAAACAAUUGAGGGUGUGAAACAAAGGGUUGCAAUUUGGUUAUACAUGCUCAAGCCUCACGGUGAGCGCAAUUUGUUUUUGGCAAUUAUCUUAUUUGUUGGCUAUUCUCUGAAGGAAAGAACAUUAAAAAAUUG